GUGACGAUACUUACAAGCUCGCCUGAGGUCGAAGCCGAUGCAGCUGUGCGCGCAGGAAGGAACUCAUUGAAACUACUCCACUUCUACUCAACCGAAAGGUUGUAUUGAUUGAUUGAUGAUUAUUCAUUAAAAGGCACAUGGGUUUAUAUUUAUACCCUGGCGCAGCUAAAAUUCUAGUCGAUUACGACAUGAACUAUUACAAACUAAUUAAAACUACUAAAGAUACUCCUUCACGCUUUCCCUUAUUUGGUGGAGUCGAUUUCACUUCGGAUCAGACCUCCUCCGAUCUUCUAUCAGCUUCUGAAAUCCUAGUCAUCCACGGCUAGUCUUGGUCAACGCGGGGUCAUCAAUGGCUCUUUUCUCUCUCCUUCAUCAGCCAUCAGAACCUUAUCCAUAGCGGUUGACUCUGGCCAAAACCCGCGUCAACACAUGCCCCCCCCCCAAUUUUGGAAUAUAAUAUUAUGUUUCAAAAUUCUCUUCUCUUGUUAGCACCCUCGCAAGUCCCGAGCCGAUAUUCUUCCAAAACUGAAAGAGUUGUUGCCGCAAUCAUGAUUCCUUUCCUCAGCCUUUGUGAUAUCACGACCCUCGAUUUUUAGGUUUCACUUGAGCAACAAUACUAUUAUAUAACUGCUCCGUCCUUUCUUCUUCUAUCCCAAGCCAACCAAGCUCUCUACCGCUGCGAAUCAAAACCGGACAUCUGCACCAGCGAUCAUGUUCAACCUUCCUCUGCGGGCAUCAAAGCUCUGAAAUCAAUCAAUGGCGACUUCCAUUUCCAUUCCUGAGGUAUUUGUAUAUCAUCACCUUGUUUAAGUGCGUUUUAGAUCUGAACUGCUUUUUCACUAUAUUCCUCAUUCCUCCCCUUCUCGAUUUUGAUCCCUAGGUGCUUAGAGAUCACGUUUUGAUUCCACUUAGUGAUGUGAAUAGUGCAUUCUUCCUUGGACCCAUGGGUGAUGAAGAUCCCGCUAACUUCAUCAAUGCCGAAACUCAACGGAUCCCUUAUAGAACACCCUCUAUGAAUUUGGAUGAUUGGAAGGAAGGUUUCCG
rnacentral:lncRNA from 1 species